GUUCGGGGACGAGAAGAGCGGCCACUGUUUCCAGCAAGCACAGGCAAUUGUUCAGCCUGGAUCGCUUGAUAGUGAAGCAUGCAUAUAUGCUCUUUCAUAUGAUAUGAGUGGUACAAGACUUGUUACCUGUGAAGCUGACAAAACUAUUAAGAUGUGGAAGGAAGAUGAGAUGGCCACGCCUGAAACUCAUCCUCUUAAUUUCAGGCCGCCCAAGGAGUUCAGGAGAUACUAAGAACAAAAAUAUGUUAAUGUUGAGGGGGCAAAAUGUGAGACCUAAAGUUUUCUGAAUAGUGAACUUGUUUUUGCUGUUAAUGUAAAAAAUGAUUUUGAUUUAUAAAUGCACUUGUAUUAAUUUGCUGUUAAGUCCAAGAUUUUUUUUAUUUUAUAUUCUUAUUUUCUUU